rnacentral:lncRNA from 1 species
UUUCAGAUCAUUAUUCACUUGGGAUCUGCGUGGGAAGCAGCAUGAGCUACGGUUAAUUCUGCCCAAACUCAUCAUUCCAUUGGUUAUUUAUCUCCACAGCCUCUGCACGGUUUCGUCUCUGGUCAGGGCAACCGGACACGCCUUGUAGGAGAGUUUGUGGUCUUUGUGGAAUAGGCAAUGAGGGAAAAGGGAAGAGAAGGUGUCUGUUACUGACUUCUGCCAGCCUUUAUGUAUUUUGCAUACAUUAUUUCAUUUAAUCCUCUCCAAAGCCCUGUGAGGUAGUUAAGCAGCUCAUUAUCUUAGUUUCACAGAUGUACACCCGAAGACUCAGAGAUAUUCGGUAACUUGCCCAAGGUCACACAGACUGUAAGCAGGACAAGGACAUUUACACAAGGACAUUUCUUUUUGGGAGAAGUCACCAAGUUGCAUCCAGCACAUGGACUGGUUCUUUUACUCAUCCACAGGCUUUGAAGUCAGACAAAGGGAUUGAGUCCCAGGUACUGGAUAUACUGAUUGACUAUAAAUCUGGCUGGUCUCAAACUCCUGACCUCAGGUGAUCUGCACACCUCAGCCUCCCACUUAAUCUUUUCAAGUCUGAAGGUUCUCAUUUGAAAACGAAGACUAUAAAAAUGCCUGGCUCCGAGGACUGUUUGAAAGAUAAGGUGGGAUAGUACAUGGAAAAUGCUCACCACAGAGCAACUAUGCUGGAGACAAAAGGUUUAGCUACGAUUUUGCGACUGAAGCAACCCCAUUAUAGCAGUAAAGCUAGGGUCUUAAUCAACUCUCAAAGAAAUGGCAAGCUCUGUUUUAAUCAUGAUAUAAACGAAGUACUCAUGAGGAAGAGACGGAUUCUGCCUGAGGGCAUAGAGAAGGCUCUCUUUAGAUGAGCCUUACAGGAUCUGUCAUAUUUCCCUGGUUUGGGAUGUGGAUGGGGGCAUUCCAGCAUUACAACCUUUUGCAAUUCAGGGAUUGCAAGGGAUUGUAUUACA